rnacentral:tRNA from 1 species
GGAUCAUGUGACUGAUGGCAGGUCACUCGGCUGUAACCCGACGCGAAAGCAAACUAGGUUCGAUUCCUAGAUGACCCACCA